UGAGGAAUAAUGGUCAAUGGGCGAUGGCCUGAACCAGCCAAGUAGCGUGAAGGAUGACUGCCCUAUGGGUUGUAAACUUCUUUUAUAAAGGAAUAAAGUCGGGUAUGCAUACCCGUUUGCAUGUACUUUAUGAAUAAGGAUCGGCUAACUCCGUGCCAGCAGCCGCGGUAAUACGGAGGAUCCGAGCGUUAUCCGGAUUUAUUGGGUUUAAAGGGAGCGUAGAUGGAUGUUUAAGUCAGUUGUGAAAGUUUGCGGCUCAACCGUAAAAUUGCAGUUGAUACUGGAUGUCUUGAGUGCAGUUGAGGCAGGCGGAAUUCGUGGUGUAGCGGUGAAAUGCUUAGAUAUCACGAAGAACUCCGAUUGCGAAGGCAGCCUGCUAAGCUGCAACUGACAUUGAGGCUCGAAAGUGUGGGUAUCAAACAGG
rnacentral:rRNA from 1 species